GGACAUCAGUUCACAAGCCAACAGGGGAUCCAUGAUGUAGCGUUCUAGGCUAGUGGAAGGAGCUCCAUUCCUCAUUGAUGAAGACCCUUGUUUGAGGAACCUGUAGGUUCUUUCUCUCAACGUCAGUUCAUCGUUGUUUAAUUGCUGGCUUUGAAAGCAGCUUCAGUAAACGUGGGCUGUGUUUCUGGAUCAGUGUGUUCAGGGCGAUGGACGACAUCGAAAACACAUCACAAAGCUCACAACUCUGACUUCCCCAUGGACUCUGACCGAAGACAACAAAGACAGAGUGCUUCACCAGCCCUCAUUAAACUCAGAAAUCCAGUUCAAUCCCUUCCUGAAUCCGUAGAGC